UACGAAGGGGGCUAGCGUUGUUCGGAAUUACUGGGCGUAAAGCGCACGUAGGCGGAUACUUAAGUUAGGGGUGAAAUCCCGGGGCUCAACCCCGGAACUGCCUUUAAUGCUGGGUAUCUCGAGUUCGAGAGAGGUGAGUGGGAUUCCGAGUGUAGAGGUGAAAUUCGUAGAUAUUCGGAGGAACACCAGUGGCGAAGGCGGCUCACUGGCUCGAUACUGACGCUGAGGUGCGAAAGCGUGGGGAGCAAACAGG
rnacentral:rRNA from 1 species